rnacentral:rRNA from 1 species
GGAGAAGUGUUAAGUCUUUAUUUUUGUAUUGUAAUAGGCUACGUUUUAAUAAGCUAUAUGUAAAUAUAGUGCUUAGGCGGAGCUUACUAACACACAAAUUAAAGAUUAAAUUAGUAUUGAAUGAAACUUUGUUUAUAUAUCGAUAAUGACGAUAUAUAUAUUAUGUCUUGACCAAUUACGUGCCAGCAGUCGCGGUAAUACGUAAGAGACUAGUGUUAUUCAUCUUAAUUAGGUUUAAAGGGUACUCAAACGGUCUGUUUUGCACAAAAGACUAGAGUUAUAUAGAAGAAGGUAGUACCUUAAGUGUAGAGAUAAAAUUUUGUUAUACUGGAGGGACUUAGAAAAGGCGUAGGCAACCUUCUAAGUAAUAACUGACGUUGAAGGACGAAGGCAUAGGUCACGAACAGGACUAGUAACCCAAGUAGUCUUUGCAGUCAAUGAUGAAUGCCAUAGGUUAGAUAAAAAUUUAGUCUAUAAAUGAAAAUGUAAGCAUUUCACCUCAAGAGUAAUGUGGCAACGCAGGAACUGAAAUCACUAGACYGUUUCUGACACCAGUAGUGAAGUAUGUUGUUUAAUUCGAUGAUCCACGAAAAACCUUACCACAAUUUGUAUAUUUUACAGGAGUUGCACGGCUGUCUUCAGUUGAUGUUGUGAAACUGUGGUUUCCAUGAAUUAACGCAAUCCCUUGCUUUAUUUUUGUUCGUACAAACUAAGGCUUAGUUAAAGCUAUAUUUAGUUACUAUAAAGCAUUUGACCCUAUAAUUUGGGAAGAAAAAAGGGAGUAAGACAAGUCAUCAUGGCCUUAAUAUUGUGGGCUAUAGACGUGCCACAUAAGCCUAU